rnacentral:rRNA from 1 species
GACGAACGCUGGCGGCGUGCCUAAUACAUGCAAGUAGAACGCUGAAGGAGGAGCUUGCUUCUCUGGAUGAGUUGCGAACGGGUGAGUAACGCGUAGGUAACCUGCCUGGUAGCGGGGGAUAACUAUUGGAAACGAUAGCUAAUACCGCAUAAUAGCAGUUGUUGCAUGACAACUGUUUAAAAGGUGCAAUUGCACCACUACCAGAUGGACCUGCGUUGUAUUAGCUAGUUGGUGGGGUAACGGCUCACCAAGGCGACGAUACAUAGCCGACCUGAGAGGGUGAUCGGCCACACUGGGACUGAGACACGGCCCAGACUCCUACGGGAGGCAGCAGUAGGGAAUCUUCGGCAAUGGACGGAAGUCUGACCGAGCAACGCCGCGUGAGUGAAGAGGGUUUUCGGAUCGUAAAGCUCUGUUGUAAGAGAAGAACGAGUGUGAGAGGGAAAGUUCACACUGGACGG